UACAGAGGUCUCAAGCGUUUGUUCGGAUUCAUUGGGCGUAAAGGGUGCGUAGGCGGCGCGGUAAGUCGGGUGUGAAAUCUCGGAGCUUAACUCCGAAACUGCAUUCGAUACUGCCGUGCUUGAGGACUGGAGAGGAGACUGGAAUUUACGGUGUAGCGGUGAAAUGCGUAGAUAUCGCUUGGAACGCCAACGGGUGAAAACAGGUUGCUGGGGGUGUGCUGACGCUGGAGACACGAAAGCCAGGGGAGCGAACGGG
rnacentral:rRNA from 1 species